rnacentral:rRNA from 1 species
UACGUAGGGGGCGAGCGUUGUCCGAAGUUACUGGGCGUAAAGCGUGCGCAGGCGGUGAUGUAAGACCGAUGGGAAAUCCCCGGGCUUAACCUGGGAACUGCAUUGGUGACUGCAUUGCUGGAGUAUGGCAGAGGGGGGUGGAAUUCCACGUGUAGCAGUGAAAUGCGUAGAGAUGUGGAGGAACACCGAUGGCGAAGGCAGCCCCCUGGGCCAAUACUGACGCUCAUGCACGAAAGCGUGGGGAGCAAACAGG